GCAAGCCUGACGGAGGGACGCCGCGUGUGGGAUGAAGGCCAUAGGGUGGUAACCCACUGUCGAAGGGGUCGAUAUUGACGGUAGCCUUGGAGGAAGCCCCGGCUGGCUAUGUGCCAGCAGUCGCGAUAUGACGUAGGGGGCAAGCGUUGUCAGGAAUUAUUGGGCGUAGAGCGCUCGUGGUCGGAUCGGAAAGUCUGCGAGGAAAGAUCCGGGCUCAACUCGGGGAACGGCUUGGAUACUUCCGGUCUUGAGGUUGUUAGAGGGUGAUGGAAUUCCCGACGUAGCGGUGAAAUGCGUAGAUAUGGGGAGGAACACCAGUGGGGAAGGCGAUCACUUGGGACAAACCUGGAUGUGAGGAGCGAGAGGUAGGGGAGCAAACGGGCUGAGAUACCCCGGUAGUCCUAACCAUAACCGCUGGAUAGUAGGUGUUGGAGGUAUCGACUCCAACCA
rnacentral:rRNA from 1 species